rnacentral:rRNA from 1 species
UACGAAGGGGGCUAGCGUUGCUCGGAAUCACUGGGCGUAAAGGGUGCGUAGGCGGGUCUUUUAAGUCAGGGGUGAAAUCCCACAGCUCAACUGUGGAAUUGCCUUUGAAACUGCAUGGCUGGAGUAUUGGAGGGGUCAGGGGAAUUCCUAAUGUAGUGGUGAAAUACGUAGAUAUUAGGAGGAACACCGGUGGCGAAGGCGCCUGACUGGACAAUAACUGACGCUGAGGCACGAAAGCGUGGGGAUCAAACAGG